AUUGAACGCUGGCGGCAGGCCUAACACAUGCAAGUCGAGCGAGCGGCGGACGGGUGUGUAAUGUAUGGGGACUGCCCGAUAUAGGGGGAUAACUACUGGAAAAGGUAGCUAUUACCGCAUACUAUCGGAUAACCCAUAUGGGAUUUGCUAGUAGGUGAGGUAAUGGCUCACCUAGGCGACGAUCCCUAGCUGGUCUGAGAGGAUGAUCAGCCACACUGGGACUGAGACACGGCCCAGACUCCUACGGAGGCAGCAGUGGGGAAUAUUGCACAAGGGGCGCAAGCCUGAUGCAGCCAUGCCGCGUGUAUGAAGAAGGCCCUAGGGUUGUAAAGUACUUUCAGUCGGGAGGCGUUACCGACAGAAGAAGCACCGGCUAACUCCGUGCCAGCAGCCGCGGUAAUUC
rnacentral:rRNA from 1 species